GGAAGUAGCACCACUUGAUGCCUGGUCUAUUACAUCAGUGAUGACUGGAUGAACUGUUUAUGAAGCUGACAGAAAUGAUGAAAACUCACCUCACACAUGUCAGACCUCUGGGUUUUCUGCACACAUGCCAGGACAAGCAUUGCCUGUUUGAGAUCAGUCGGGAAGCACUAACAUAUGAACAGUGACCUGCAUUCAAACACCAGAACCCAGCUUCCCAGCACAAAUGCCUGCACCUAUCCUUUAGAAGGCUUUCCACUAUGACGGUAUGCGAAAUGUAACUACUGUAAAAAUAAGUGCUUGUAAAAACUAUGGUCAGUGGAACGUUUCCUCGAGCUUUUCAAAACACCAAUGCAAACUGCUAUGUGGAAGAAAGGAAGCAUUAUCUUUCAGUCACUUAUAUGCAAAUGUUACAUGGAAAUUGACAGUAAAACAUGAAAAUGAAAUUUAACAUCUUUAUAACCGGGUUAGCAGUCCGUCCCUGUCCAUCCCCGUGUGUGUAUCCCCCCACCUCCGGGAAAGAAUCAGCCAGAAAAGAAAACACCAAAGGAGAACGCAAAGGAGUCACCUCUAGCAGCAUUUAAAAGUUCAAAUAAAGAGACGGGCAUCUCGCCGGAUUUUCGAAACGAUAUCAGCGUGGGGGAACUGGCAGCCCGGCUCUCAGCGGGUCAGGCACGGGGGCUGCAGGCUAACCAAACGGGAGGGUUCGGGAAGCAGGCUGCCUCCGGAGCCCCUCACGCCCAGCGCCGCGGGGCCGGCGGUCGCUCCGCGCCCCCACACCGGCCCCGCCGCCGCCGCGGGGCCCUCGGGGGUCCGGGCCUCCCCGGAAGGCCUCCGGCAGCGGGCGAACCGCCC